rnacentral:lncRNA from 1 species
AUCACAUAUCAGAUUCCAUUCCACUUCUAUUUUCCAUUAGGUAAUCAUCUCUUCCAUGGCCUUGCUUUGAUAUAUCUACGCUUGCUUACCAUGUUCAUCACCAUUAAUCCUUCCAUUUUCAUAUUUAUUUUUCUUAUUUAAAAUAUUUUCUUCAUCCAAAAAAUUACCCAAAAAUAUUUUUCACUUUUAUUAACGGUUUAUUUAAUUUUAUAUAAUUUUUAUUUUCGUUUUUUUUAAUAUUAAUAUUUUAUUUUAAUUAUUUAUUCUA